UUUGGAAUUACUGUGGAAGUGAAAGUCUCCCACCAAUGAAACCUAUAACAUUUCUCCAUUAUUUCUGAUUGGCUCUGAAGGGAUGCUCAUCUUCACCUCACAAGGGCAGCCCUGUGGCAUGGAGCCAAGUGGAUCUGGUGAAGACUGUGUCAACCAUCCAUAAGCAGGGUAUUGGAAAAUUCUGCCAAUUGAAGGAAUGGGGAAAGAUGAAUUCUUCUAGUCAAGAAUCAAGUCA